AACGAACGCUGGCGGCAUGCCUAACACAUGCAAGUCGAACGAGACCUUCGGGCCUAGUGGCGCACGGGUGCGUAACGCGUGGGAACCUGCCCUUAGGUUCGGAAUAACUCCCCGAAAGGGGUGCUAAUACCGGAUAAUGUCUUCGGACCAAAGAUUUAUCGCCUUUGGAUGGGCCCGCGUUGGAUUAGCUAGUUGGUAGGGUAAAAGCCUACCAAGGCGACGAUCCAUAGCUGGUCUGAGAGGAUGAUCAGCCACACUGGGACUGAGACACGGCCCAGACUCCUACGGGAGGCAGCAGUGGGGAAUAUUGGACGAUGGGCGAAAGCCUGAUCCAGCAAUGCCGCGUGAGUGAUGAAGGCCUUAGGGUUGUAAAGCUCUUUUACCCGAGAUGAUAAUGACAGUACCGGGAGAAUAAGCUCCGGCUAACUCCGUG
rnacentral:rRNA from 1 species